GACGAACGCUGGCGGCGUGCUUAACACAUGCAAGUCGAACGGAAAGGCCCUGCUUUUGUGGGGUGCUCGAGUGGCGAACGGGUGAGUAACACGUGAGUAACCUGCCCUUGACUUUGGGAUAACUUCAGGAAACUGGGGCUAAUACCGGAUAGGAGCUCCUGCUGCAUGGUGGGGGUUGGAAAGUUUCGGCGGUUGGGGAUGGACUGGCGGCGGAUCAGCUUGUUGGUGGGGUAGUGGCGUACCAAGGCGUUGACGGGUAGCUGGCCGGAGAGGGGGAUCGGCCACACUGGGACUGAGACACGGCCCAGACUCCUACGGGAGGCAGCAGUGGGGAAUUUUGGACAAUGGGCGAAAGCCUGAUCCAGCCAUGCCGCGUGCGGGAUGAAGGCCUUCGGGUUGUAAACUGCUUUUGUAGGGAAAGAAAAGCCUCUUUCUAAUAAAGAGGGGUCAUGACGGUACCGAAAGAAUAAGCACCGGCUAACUACGUG
rnacentral:rRNA from 1 species